rnacentral:rRNA from 1 species
GUCUGAGCCGCCCAUUGAAAAAAUUCUUAAAAGGCCGCGGUAUAUAAACUGUGGCAAAGGUAGCAUAAUCACUAGUUUUUUAAUUGAAGGCUUGUAUGAAUGAUUGGAUAAAAAUUAAACUGUCUUUUCUUAAAAAGUUGAAUUUUAUUUUUAAGUGAAAAAGCCUUAAAUAAAUCAGAGGGACGAUAAGACCCUAUAAAUCUUUAUGUAGUUUUUUUUGCCUUAUUAAAUAUAAUUAUGUUAAGUUGUAUGCAAAAAAAAGUUCAUUGUGCUGGGGCGGCAGAAAUAUAAUAAAACUAUUUUAAAAUAAUAACAAAAAUAUUUGUUUAGUAAAAGAUCCUAUUUAUGGAUUUUAAGAAUAAGUUACUUUAGGGAUAACAGCAUAAUUUCUUUUGAGAGUUCAAAUCGAAAAAGAAGUUCUGUGACCUCGAUGUUGAAUUAAAAACUCU